AUUGAACGCUGGCGGCAUGCUUUACACAUGCAAGUCGAACGGCAGCGCGGGCUUCGGCCUGGCGGCGAGUGGCGAACGGGUGAGUAAUACAUCGGAACGUGCCCAGUAGUGGGGGAUAGCUCGGCGAAAGCCGGAUUAAUACCGCAUACGACCUGAGGGUGAAAGCGGGGGAUCUUCGGACCUCGCGCUAUUGGAGCGGUCGAUGGCAGAUUAGCUAGUUGGUGGGGUAAAGGCCUACCAAGGCGACGAUCUGUAGCUGGUCUGAGAGGACGACCAGCCACACUGGGACUGAGACACGGCCCAGACUCCUACGGGAGGCAGCAGUGGGGAAUUUUGGACAAUGGGCGAAAGCCUGAUCCAGCAAUGCCGCGUGUGUGAUGAAGGCCUUCGGGUUGUAAAGCACUUUUGGCGGGAACGAAAAGGACUGUGCCAAUACCACGGUUCGAUGACGGUACCCGCAGAAUAAGCACCGGCUAACUACGU
rnacentral:rRNA from 1 species